GAUGAACGCUGGCGGCGUGCCUAAUACAUGCAAGUCGAGCGAACAGACGAGGAGCUUGCUCCUCUGACGUUAGCGGCGGACGGGUGAGUAACACGUGGAUAACCUACCUAUAAGACUGGGAUAACUUCGGGAAACCGGAGCUAAUACCGGAUAAUAUAUUGAACCGCAUGGUUCAAUAGUGAAAGACGGUUUUGCUGUCACUUAUAGAUGGAUCCGCGCCGCAUUAGCUAGUUGGUAAGGUAACGGCUUACCAAGGCAACGAUGCGUAGCCGACCUGAGAGGGGGGCAGGCCACACUGGAAGGGGAACAGGCUCAGCACUACGAGGGGGGGCAGAAGGGGGGAAUCUUCCGCAAGGGGAGAAAGCCUUACAGAGCAACGCCGGGUGAGUGAAGAAGGUUUUGGGAGCGUAAAACUGUGUUAUUGGGAAAAAACAAAUGUGUAAGAAACAAUGCCCGUCUGGACGGAACCUAAUAAGAAAGCCACGGCUAACUACGGG
rnacentral:rRNA from 1 species